GAUGAACGCUAGCUACAGGCUUAACACAUGCAAGUCGAGGGGCAUCAGGAAGAAAGCUUGCUUUCUUUGCUGGCGACCGGCGCACGGGUGAGUAACACGUAUCCAACCUGCCCUUUACUCGGGGAUAGCCCUUCGAAAGAAAGAUUAAUACCCGAUAGCAUAAUGAUUCCGCAUGGUUUCAUUAUUAAAGGAUUCCGGUAAAGGAUGGGGAUGCGUUCCAUUAGGUUGUUGGUGAGGUAACGGCCCACCAAGCCUUCGAUGGAUAGGGGUUCUGAGAGGAAGGUCCCCCACAUUGGAACUGAGACACGGUCCAAACUCCUACGGGAGGCAGCAGUGAGGAAUAUUGGUCAAUGGGCGUUAGCCUGAACCAGCCAAGUAGCGUGAAGGAUGAAGGCUCUAUGGGUCGUAAACUUCUUUUAUAUAAGAAUAAAGUGCAGUAUGUAUACUGUUUUGUAUGUAUUAUAUGAAUAAGGAUCGGCUAACUCCGUGCCAGCAGCCGCGGUAAUACGGAGGAUCCGAGCGUUAUCCGGAUUUAUUGGGUUUAAAGGGAGCGUAGGUGGACUGGUAAGUCAGUUGUGAAAGUUUGCGGCUCAACCGUAAAAUUGCAGUUGAUACUGUCAGUCUUGAGUACAGUAGAGGUGGGCGGAAUUCGUGGUGUAGCGGUGAAAUGCUUAGAUAUCACGAAGAACUCCGAUUGCGAAGGCAGCUCACUGGACUGC
rnacentral:rRNA from 1 species